GACAGAGGGGGCAAGCGUUGCUCGGAAUUACUGGGCGUAAAGGGCGCGUAGGCGGGAUGGCAAGUCGGUCGUGAAAUCCUUCGGCUCAACCGAAGAACGUCGAUCGAUACUGCUGUUCUUGAGGGUUGCAGAGGAGACUGGAAUUCCCGGUGUAGCGGUGAAAUGUGUAGAGAUCGGGAGGAACACCGGUGGCGAAGGCGGGUCUCUGGGCAAUUCCUGACGCUGAGGCGCGAAAGCGUGGGGAGCAAACGGGG
rnacentral:rRNA from 1 species